rnacentral:rRNA from 1 species
CCUACGUGUGGCUGCAGUGAGGAAUAUUGGUCAAUGGGCGGAAGCCUGAACCAGCCACGUAGCGUGCGGGAUGAAGGCCCUACGGGUCGUAAACCCCUUUUGCACGGGGAUAACACCUUCCACUUGUGGAGGUCUGCAGGUACCGUGCGAAUAAGGGCCGGCUAAUUCCGUGCCAGCAGCCGCGGUAAUACGGAAGGCCCGAGCGUUAUCCGGAUUCAUUGGGCUUAAAGAGAGCGUAGGCGGACGUCCAAGUCAGCUGUAAAAUCUCGCGGCUCAACCGCGCCCCGCAGUUGAAACUGGACGCCUUGAGUGUACAACAGGCAGGCGGAAUUCGUGGUGUAGCGGUGAAAUGCAUAGAUAUCACGAGGAACCCCGAUUGCGAAGGCAGCCUGCCGGGGUGCGACUGACGCUGAGGCUCGAAGGUGUGGGUAUCAAACAGGAUUAGAUACCCCUGUAGUC